rnacentral:misc_RNA from 1 species
GUAAGGCCGCGGAACAGGUAAUGCCGGCCGCUGGCGGGCAUUCAUCCUGGCAAUCGGUGCCGGCCAGCGGCCGGCACUACCGGCGGU